GGAAGCACAGAAUCUUGAAGGGAGCUAGAGACAGUACGAGAGGACCUCUCUGGAGGAAUCUCUGGUGAGCCGGUUGUGGCGUCAGCCGCAAAGCCGGGUAGCUACAUUCCUAAGGGAUAACCGCUGAAAGCAUCUAAGCGGGAAGCCCACCCUAAGAUAAGGAUUCAUUCGCCCGAAAGGGCGAGAAGACUCCUGGGAGAAUACCAGGUAUAUCGGCAGGAAGUGGAAGCCCUGUAAGGGGUUAAGCUAACCUGAACCGAAUAAGUCGAAAAGACUUUUAGA
rnacentral:ncRNA from 1 species